GUCUAUGGCCAUACCACCCUGAACAUGGCCCACCUCACCUGAUCUUGGAAGCUUAGCAGUUCAGGCUCAAUUAAUACGUGGAUGAGAGAAUUCCUGACUAGAAAAUUUCUAGAUU
rnacentral:rRNA from 1 species